UGUCAAGAUCUCUGUGCAAGGCCUCUCUUCUACUGAAGGAGUUAACAGCUCCUCCUAAAUUAGUAUUGUCUGCAAACUUAAUUAAGAUGCAUUUGACUUCUGUAUCUAGAUCACUUACAAAAAACAUUGAAUAGAACAGAGCCUUGGAGAGCCUUAUCAGUGGCCAGCAGCCAGCCUGAUGUAACCUCAUCUACUAUAACCCCUUGAGUCCAACCCAUCAGCCAGCUGUUUACCCAUUGUACCUUUAUAGCUGUAUGCUGCACGUUUUAUCCAAAAGGAUAUACUGAGAGGAAAGCUCUCCUGAAGAGCUCUUUGAGAAGAGAAUCACUGAGGAACCUGUUACACAGUCUCUGAGAACACUGAUCAGCGCUAGCUGGGUUGGACCAUAUCAGGGACCCUCCUGAAAAAAAGAGUCUUUCUUGAUAAUGGAAAGAACAAUAAAUAUUGCAAGAGCUGAAAGUCAGUUUGCAAACUGCAGUGUGAAUGACACAUAGCAUCAGCUGGAUAGUUCACAGACUUCAUAGCACAUGGAUUACUUGAGAGCAUCUCCUGGAUGGCAACGACAGGAAACUGAUCUGUAGACAAAAGUGCACAGGCAAGAAAUGUUGAUCAGGAAGCAUAAUUAAUUGCAGUCAGAGAGUUGUUGCUUUGCUCAAAAGUUUACUCAGACUAUUUUAAUAUUUUUCUUUUUUCACCCAUCCACAUUUUGCACUUUCCCACUAGGGAGCUCUUCUGGGGUAACAGGUCAUUUCUAGGUUCCUUGGGUAAACUGAGAAGGAAGAAGUCUUUUCUCAGCUUGUACAGCUUUGUUUGUGGAAAAGCAUUUGUACUGGUGGAAAAGCAUUUGUACUGACAGAUCUUCAGUGCUUACUGCUUCUUGCUCUACAGAAAUACUUAACCUUUAAAUGGAAUUUGCUUACACAUCUAAAUAUAGUUUUUAUUCAGCAGUGGCUUUGCAAUUUCCAUAGGUUUGUUUGGUGUUUUUCCUUCUGUGAUGAUAUAUUCUGCAGAAAUAGCUUUCUAGGAAUUUGACAUUAUUAACAUGCUGCAUUGAACUUAGAGAGCAUUUAAUGGUUUGAUGAUGCAAAUUUAAGAAUGUCCUUUUGGUUUAUUUAACAUUUGCUGUGCAUACAGAAUCUUGUUUCAUUGUCUUUAAAAUUAAAUUAUAUGCUGUAUGUUUUUUCUAUUAUUAUUAUUGUUGGCUCCCACUGGUAGAGGACUAGAUUGAAUCUGGCUUUUAUUUGGCAGUUAUGUAGAACUCUAUAUUCAUGCCCAGUUGAUUUUUUCAUUAAUUCUUUUGUGAGUUGGUUUGCUCACACACAUACAAAUUUCCAGCUGCUUCCUGAGAAACUGGUAGAGAGUAGACAGAACAGAUAAGCCUCUUGCAACUUGUUAUUUUGGGGCUGCUUUUCAGCAGAUGUUUUACUCAUAUCAAUAAAUGACAAAUGUAUUAACAAUUCAAAGAAAAAGAUUCCUUUUCUCCUCAUUCACAACAUACAGUCUCAAAUAAUAAAAUGAUGUGUAUGGUUUAAUAAACAUG